GAUGAACGCUGGCGGCGUGCUUAAUACAUGCAAGUCGAACGGAGGCAGUAGCAAUAUUGUCUUAGUGGCGAACGGGUGAGUAACGCGUUGGUGACCUGCCUCGAAGAGAGGGAUAACAGUCCGAAAGGAUUGCUAAUACCCCAUGUGGUCAUUUGGAUUAGAUGCCUUUUGACUAAACGGAUUUAUUCACUUCGAGAGGGGCCUGCGUCCCAUCAGCUAGUUGGUAGGGUAAUGGCCUACCAAGGCGAUGACGGGUAGGGGACCUGAGAGGGUGGCCCCCCACAAUGGAACUGAAACACGGUCCAUACACCUACGGGUGGCAGCAGUAGGGAAUAUUGGUUAAUCUGCGAAAGCGGGAACCAGCAACGCCGCGUGCACGAUGAAGGCCUUGGGUUGUAAAGUGCUUUUUGAAAGGAUGAGGAAGGACAGUACUUUCAGAAUAAGCUUCGGCUAACUACGUGCCAGCAGCCGCGGUAAGAGUACUCUAU
rnacentral:rRNA from 1 species